CAGAGGGUGCAAGCGUUGUUCGGAAUUAUUGGGCGUAAAGCGCGUGUAGGUGGCUUUCUAAGUCUGGUGUGAAAGCCCGGGGCUCAACCCCGGAAGUGCACUGGAUACUGGAAAGCUAGAGGGCGAGAGAGGAGAUUGGAAUUCAUGGUGUAGGGGUGAAAUCCGUAGAUAUCAUGAGGAACAUCUGUGGCGAAGGCGAAUCUCUGGCUCGUUUCUGACACUGAGACGCGAAAGCGUGGGGAGCGAACAGGAUUAGAUACCCUGGUAGUCCACGCCCUAAACGAUGAUUACUAGUUGUCGGGACUCCUAAUUGUCUCGGUGACGCAGCUAACGCAUUAAGUAAUCCGCCUGGGAAUUACGGUCGCAAGAUUA
rnacentral:rRNA from 1 species